AGCCGUCUGUGAAGGAGGAUUGGGCCUCUCUCUCCAAGCGAUCAGCAUUUCGCUCCUGCGUUUGAUCAGCAUGAAGGAUCUUCAAGCCUUCUUGCCCUGGGGAUGCUGGUGAGCUGAGACUGAGGCCGAGGGCACCCCCAGGCCCUGGUGAUCUUCAGAGUGUGUGUUUCUCUCCUCACUGGGUAGAAGGAUGGCUCCCCGGUGCCCCGAGGAGAAAAACUAGUUACUACAAUGCCCAUCAGGGAGCAGACGCUCCCAAAUGGGCUGGUUUAACGCGACGCGAAGAUUCCCACAAUCCUCUGGGCAUGACAGUGAAGGUGCUGGUGACGCCCAAGUGGAUGGAAGAUGAGCAGAGAAUGGAGAAACCUCCCAGAGCUUCGCCUUGGGGAAAGUCCUCUUCCCCUCUCCCCCCAUCACGGGCACCUCCUCCGGCGUCUCAGCCACUAUGGCCGCGUCACACAGAUUUGUUGAGACUGUGAACUGUGCUUAUUCAAGUAAAAGGUAUGAAUGAGCCUGUAGGUUCCCCUCUGGUGGGAGGGAACAGCCCGCCUCUUGCCUGGGACCUCAGCACAGCCCCAUGGUGGCUGAUCUCUAAUCCCUGAGCUGCCAACACGGCCCCGUGGUCCAGACUCCACUGCAGGCUGUUUGUGCCUGUGACCCAUCCCUGCGUCUCACAGCAGGAGGAACAAGAAGGCCUGAGAAGGGCUGAAAUCCUGCCAGGAGAUGCCUCGGAGGAUCCAGAGCUGGCUCCAGGUGCCCCAGAUCCCAUUCACAUGCAUUUCCUAGACCUCAGAAACUGGCUAAUUUCUCUCCCCGUGGGAGUCUGACAGCUCAGCCUCCAGAGCUUCUCUCUCAUCUCCCCAGUCAGGCUGAGUUUGUGCUGCUUGGGUAAACAACGUUCCCCUUGGAUGUCAGAUGUAGACUUAUUUACCUGGUGGCGGACCGGGUGAUUCCUUCUCAGUCACCCCAUCACAAAUACCGAGACUUGGGGUGGGAGCCAGCACCCUACAACCGUCAGAGAUGGGGGACCCAGAAUCUGGUUAUGGGCAAUGAUCUCACACUGGCUGCUGGGAAAGUCACAUUCACUAUUUCAUGCAGGGGCCUCUCUGGACUAUAGCUAGGCCAGAGUCGCCAUGCCCCAGAGCUGUGAUUUCAUCCAGUUAUCCUAUACCCUGCAUCCAAGCUAAAAUAUAGUCAUUGGAUCGCCUAGGGCUAUGAAUAGACACUUUAUACUUUAAAACCCUGCAUGCUUUGAAUUCCCUCCAGCCCGAAGCCAGUGUGCCGUGAUGGCUCUCCCUCCCUCAGGCUGUGAGGGACGGCGGUCACUCAGUCCCCAGGACCACGGGGCAAUGCAGUCAGGGGGCUGGUGUCCAGCUCAGGGAUUCUGCAGUUGUCGUCUGUAGGCAGCUCUACCCUGAUGAAAUCACCAGCCAAGCCACUCCACUGUGCAGCUGCUGGGAGCCUAGAGUCUGGGGCAGGGCACAGCUGUGCCAGCUGUCGAAGACACAUUACGCUAUGCCGCUCAGCCGUGACUCACAUUCCAGUACAGGGGAAAUGCGCAAAAGUUAUACACUGUUUUGGGAGUGCCAAAAAUCGUCUUGGUUUUGUCUUGCAAGAUGUUCAGCUUGCAGAGCGUGGGGCAGACGGAGGAAGGGGAUGGGGAGGAGGCGAGGGGAGCAGAUCUGUCUCUAGUCAACUCUGCCUGUCACACACCCUCCAUCGCUCUAAUAACAGCACUCAGCAUUUAAUCAGCCCCUUUGUGGAAGCAGACGAUGUCACACUCAUUAAUUAGUUAAUCUGAACAGCCCCCCUGGGAGGAGGAGCCAUGUUAUUAUCCCCACUGGGACCCAGGGGGAAACUGAGGCCAGAGUGGGAAUUUGGCACUGCGCUGAGGGAACACAGCCUGGCGGCUGGACCAGAACCAGUCUAUGCUUGCCGCCUGUUCUGCUGCCCUCACUCCCGUCCUCCUCCUCCAAGCUCCAGUCUGCUCACAAUGCUGGCGGCUGUCUUCGAAAACACCUGGCCAAACCCCAUCAGCACUGGGCCUGAAGGCACUCAAAGGAAGGGCAGCAGGGCAGUGGAGCAGAGAGGGUGCAGCCUGUUAGCCGGACCAGGUCGGGCCCCCAGAGAACACGUGCUCUGAACUGGAAACCCGUGAUGCCGGGAUGCCCAAUGCUACAGGCCCUCGGGGAUGGAGACUCACGUCAGUGCACUAAGCAAAGAAUCCUGACCAAAUGAGUCGCAGGAGGAGGUGAGUGGAACAUGGAAUAAAGAGUUAGAGGACGUCAUAAACAUGUUUUCGGAGUUUGUGAACAAGUUGCAGAAAUAAAGACCGUAGCCUCUACCUGUGUUUCCUUGCUGGCUACUGGAGUUGCUCAAGAUGAAAUCAUGAACUCCUCCCCUUCUUUCCUUUUAAAUAGGAAUAAUCACAAUAAAAAAAAAACC